rnacentral:tRNA from 1 species
GGAGAGGUGUCCGAGAGGCCGAAGGAGCACGCUUGGAAAGCGUGUAACCCGUCAGGGUUCGCGGGUUCGAAUCCCGCCCUCUCCGCCA